CGUCUGGAGAGACCUGCCUGCGCAAGCAGAGAGGAAGGUGGGGAUGACGUCAAGUCAGCAGGCCCUUACGUCCAGGGCUACACACGUGCUACAAUGGCCGGUACAGAGGGCAGCGACCUGGUGACAGGUAGCGAAUCUCCAAAGCCGGUCUCAGUUCGGAUCGGAGUCUGCAACUCGACUCCGUGAAGCUGGAUUCGCUAGUAAUCGGAUAUCAGCAAUGAUCCGGUGAAUACGUUCCCGGGCCUU
rnacentral:rRNA from 1 species